UGGCUCAGGACGAACGCUGGCGGCGUGCCUAAUACAUGCAAGUCGAACGCGUUUCCGUUAUUGAUUUUAGGUGCUUGCAUUUAAAUGAUUUAACACGAAACGAGUGGCGAACUGGUGAGUAACACGUGGGUAACCUGCCCUUGAAGUAGGGGAUAACACUUGGAAACAGGUGCUAAUACCGUAUAACAACCAAAACCACAUGGUUUUGGUUUAAAAGAUGGCUUCGGCUAUCACUUUAGGAUGGACCCGCGGCGUAUUAGCUUGUUGGUAAGGUAAUGGCCUACCAAGGCAAUGAUACGUAGCCGACCUGAGAGGGUAAUCGGCCACAUUGGGACUGAGACACGGCCCAAACUCCUACGGGAGGCAGCAGUAGGGAAUCUUCCACAAUGGACGAAAGUCUGAUGGAGCAACGCCGCGUGAGUGAUGAAGGGUUUCGGCUCGUAAAACUCUGUUGUUGGAGAAGAACAGGUGUCAGAGUAACUGUUGACAUCUUGACGGUAUCCAACCAGAAAGCCACGGCUAACUACGUGCCAGCAGCCGCGGUAAUACGUAGGUGGCAAGCGUUGUCCGGAUUUAUUGGGCGUAAAGCGAGCGCAGGCGGUUUCUUAGGUCUGAUGUGAAAAGCUUCGGCUUAACCUGGU
rnacentral:rRNA from 2 species